CUUUUAAAUAAGUAAGAGUUUUGAAGUGGAUG
rnacentral:rRNA from 1 species